rnacentral:rRNA from 1 species
AGAGUUUGAUCAUGGCUCAGGACGAACGCUGGCGGCGUGCCUAAUACAUGCAAGUCGAGCGGACAGAAGGGAGCUUGCUCCCGGAUGUUAGCGGCGGACGGGUGAGUAACACGUGGGUAACCUGCCUGUAAGACUGGGAUAACUCCGGGAAACCGGAGCUAAUACCGGAUAGUUCCUUGAAUCGCAUGGUUCAAGGAUGAAAGACGGUUUCGGCUGUCACUUACAGAUGGACCCGCGGCGCAUUAGCUAGUUGGUGGGGUAAUGGCUCACCAAGGCGACGAUGCGUAGCCGACCUGAGAGGGUGAUCGGCCACACUGGGACUGAGACACGGCCCAGACUCCUACGGGAGGCAGCAGUAGGGAAUCUUCCGCAAUGGACGAAAGUCUGACGGAGCAACGCCGCGUGAGUGAUGAAGGUUUUCGGAUCGUAAAGCUCUGUUGUUAGGGAAGAACAAGUGCGAGAGUAACUGCUCGCACCUUGACGGUACCUAACCAGAAAGCCACGGCUAACUACGUGCCAGCAGCCGCGGUAAUACGUAGGUGGCAAGCGUUGUCCGGAAUUAUUGGGCGUAAAGGGCUCGCAGGCGGUUUCUUAAGUCUGAUGUGAAAGCCCCCGGCUCAACCGGGGAGGGUCAUUGGAAACUGGGAAACUUGAGUGCAGAAGAGGAGAGUGGAAUUCCACGUGUAGCGGUGAAAUGCGUAGAGAUGUGGAGGAACACCAGUGGCGAAGGCGACUCUCUGGUCUGUAACUGACGCUGAGGAGCGAAAGCGUGGGGAGCGAACAGGAUUAGAUACCCUGGGUAGUCCACGCCGUAAACGAUGAGUGCUAAGUGUUAGGGGGGUUUCCGCCCCUUAGUGCUGCAGCUAACGCAUUAAGCACUCCGGCCUGGGGAGUACGGUCGCAAGACUGAAACUCAAAGGAAUUGACGGGGGCCCGCACAAGCGGUGGAGCAUGUGGUUUAAUUCGAAGCAACGCGAAGAACCUUACCAGGUCUUGACAUCCUCUGACAACCCUAGAGAUAGGGCUUUCCCUUCGGGGACAGAGUGACAGGUGGUGCAUGGUUGUCGUCAGCUCGUGUCGUGAGAUGUUGGGUUAAGUCCCGCAACGAGCGCAACCCUUGAUCUUAGUUGCCAGCAUUCAGUUGGGCACUCUAAGGUGACUGCCGGUGACAAACCGGAGGAAGGUGGGGAUGACGUCAAAUCAUCAUGCCCCUUAUGACCUGGGCUACACACGUGCUACAAUGGACAGAACAAAGGGCUGCAAGACCGCAAGGUUUAGCCAAUCCCAUAAAUCUGUUCUCAGUUCGGAUCGCAGUCUGCAACUCGACUGCGUGAAGCUGGAAUCGCUAGUAAUCGCGGAUCAGCAUGCCGCGGUGAAUACGUUCCCGGGCCUUGUACACACCGCCCGUCACACCACGAGAGUUUGCAACACCCGAAGUCGGUGAGGUGACCUUUAUGGAGCCAGCCGCCGAAGGUGGGGCAGAUGAUUGGGGUGAAGUCGUAACAAGGUAUCCGU